rnacentral:lncRNA from 1 species
GAUGAGGAGGGUUCUAGAGUUAGGAUAUUUUGUAUGGAAGAGUGUGGAAGUUGCCACAUGAUAACACCACAAUGAUCAUGAGCACCUAUAAAUAAAGGUGCUCCCCUUCCUCCUAGUCAUACCAUGGCAUAGAGUGGCAUGUGAGCCAUAGGUGAAGAGAUGGCAAGGUUGCCAUGUAGUUUAGUGGUGUCAUGGUAGGGUAGCCACAUAAAGAGUGUAAGAGUGAGUGUUGUAUCAAGUUGUGAGUAGGUGAAUAAAAGAUUUGAGUUCCUUGUAGAGAGUUGGUCUCCCGUGUUGGUGUCGGUGUGAAGAUCUCCUUAGAAUAGUGUGGGUAUAAGGUCCACAGAAGAAAUGGUGUCACACCACUUUAGUGCCACUUUUAGGAAUUAGUGUCAAGGUUUGGAUGCCGAUUUCUCAACAAUUGAUAUCAGAGUAGGUCGGUCAGGGACCGUCAUUGGGAGGAGUUUUGUGGUGAGUGCGGGGCACUCAUAGUGGUCGGUACAGUUGUUGGUAGGCACAGGGCACUUACAUUACUCGGUGUGGCACUGAGAGGCGCUAAAGGGAGACUCUGUCAGAGAUCACAGUCCGGGACUGUGAAGGAAUGCUGGUUCGAGACCAAGCGUAGGUGAUGCUGGGUGUCAGUUGAGAUGGCGAAUCUCUUGAGCGCAGGAGGCAUGAGGAAGCUCAAUAGCUACAACUAUGGCUAUUGGUAGACCUGUAUAGAGUCCUACUUGAUGGGUCAGGACCUAUGGGAGGUCGUAGCAGGCAUCGAGAAAAC